CAGUUGAAGCCUCAAGCCCAAGCCUAUUGCACUGGCAAACUCCACCAUGUCGCAGAGUGCCAGGCAGCCGAGUCACUACCCCUCAACCUGGAGAAAACUGUUAAGCACCUCACCAUGGGGCAGGACCGCAACACUCUUCACCAC